GCCUCGGUGGUGUGUAGCGGUUAUCACGCUCGCCUAACACGCGAGAGGGUCUGGGUUCAACUCCCAGUCGAGGUA